rnacentral:rRNA from 1 species
UAGGGAAUCUUCGGCAAUGGGGGCGAACCCUGACCGAGCAACGCCGCGUGAGUGAAGAAGGUUUUCGGAUCGUAAAGCUCUGUUGUAAGAGAAGAACGUGUGUGAGAGUGGAAAGUUCACACAGUGACGGUAACUUACCAGAAAGGGACGGCUAACUCGUGCCAG